GACGAACGCUGGCGGCGUGCUUAACACAUGCAGGUCGAACGGAAAGGCCCUGCUUUUGUGGGGUGCUCGAGUGGCGAACGGGUGAGUAACACGUGAGUAACCUGCCCUUGACUUUGGGAUAACUUCAGGAAACUGGGGCUAAUACCGGAUAGGAGCUCCUGCUGCAUGGUGGGGGUUGGAAAGUUUCGGCGGUUGGGGAUGGACUCGCGGCUUAUCAGCUUGUUGGUGGGGUAGUGGCUUACCAAGGCUUUGACGGGUAGCCGGCCUGAGAGGGUGACCGGCGACAAUGGGACUGAGAUACGGCGCAGACUCCUACGGGAGGCAGCAGUGGGGAAUAUUGCACAAUGGGCGGAAGCCUGAUGCAGCAACGCCGCGUGCGGGAUGACGGCCUUCGGGUUGUAAACCGCUUUCGCCUGUGACGAAGCGUGAGUGACGGUAAUGGGUAAAGAAGCACCGGCUAACUACGUG
rnacentral:rRNA from 1 species